UGGCGGACGGGUGAGUAAUGUCUGGGAAACUGCCCGAUGGAGGGGGAUAACUACUGGAAACGGUAGCUAAUACCGCAUAACGUCGCAAGACCAAAGAGGGGGACCUUAGGGCCUCUUGCCAUCGGAUGUGCCCAGAUGGGAUUAGCUAGUAGGUGGGGUAACGGCUCACCUAGGCGACGAUCCCUAGCUGGUCUGAGAGGAUGACCAGCCACACUGGAACUGAGACACGGCCAG
rnacentral:rRNA from 1 species